AGUUUGAUCCUGGCUCAGGAUGAACGCUAGCUACAGGCUUAACACAUGCAAGUCGAGGGGCAGCAUUGGGGUAGCAAUACUUCAGAUGGCGACCGGCGCACGGGUGAGUAACACGUAUCCAACCUGCCGCUUACUCGGGGAUAGCCUUUCGAAAGAAAGAUUAAUACCCGAUGGUAUAAAGAGUUCGCAUGUUCUCUUUAUUAAAGAAUUUCGGUAAGCGAUGGGGAUGCGUUCCAUUAGAUAGUUGGCGGGGUAACGGCCCACCAAGUCUACGAUGGAUAGGGGUUCUGAGAGGAAGGUCCCCCACAUUGGAACUGAGACACGGUCCAAACUCCUACGGGAGGCAGCAGUGAGGAAUAUUGGUCAAUGGACGAGAGUCUGAACCAGCCAAGUAGCGUGAAGGAUGACUGCCCUAUGGGUUGUAAACUUCUUUUAUAAGGGAAUAAAGUGAGGGACGUGUCCCUUUUUGUAUGUACCUUAUGAAUAAGGAUCGGCUAACUCCGUGCCAGCAGCCGCGGUAAUACGGAGGAUCCAAGCGUUAUCCGGAUUUAUUGGGUUUAAAGGGAGCGUAGGUUGACAUAUAAGUCAGCUGUGAAAGUUUACGGCUCAACCGUGAAAUUGCAGUUGAUACUGUAUGUCUUGAGUGUACAAGAGGUGGGCGGAAUUCGUGGUGUAGCGGUGAAAUGCUUAGAUAUCACGAAGAACUCCAAUUGCGAAGGCAGCUCACUGGGGUACAACUGACACUGAGGCUCGAAAGUGUGGGUAUCAAACAGGAUUAGAUACCCUGGUAGUCCACACAGUAAACGAUGAAUACUCGCUGUUUGCGAUAUACAGUAAGCGGCCAAGCGAAAGCAUUAAGUAUUCCACCUGGGGAGUACGCCGGCAACGGUGAAACUCAAAGGAAUUGACGGGGGCCCGCACAAGCGGAGGAACAUGUGGUUUAAUUCGAUGAUACGCGAGGAACCUUACCCGGGCUUGAAUUGCAGAGGAACAUAGUUGAAAGAUUAUGGCCGCAAGGUCUCUGUGAAGGUGCUGCAUGGUUGUCGUCAGCUCGUGCCGUGAGGUGUCGGCUUAAGUGCCAUAACGAGCGCAACCCUUAUCAUUAGUUACUAACAGGUCAUGCUGAGGACUCUAGUGAGACUGCCGUCGUAAGAUGUGAGGAAGGUGGA
rnacentral:rRNA from 1 species